UACGUAGGUGGCAAGCGUUGUCCGGAAUUACUGGGCGUAAAGAGCGCGCAGGCGGCUGGUCAAGUCCGAUGUGAAAGCUCCCGGCUUAACUGGGAAAUUGCAUCGGAGACUGAUCGGCUUGAAGGUGGGAGAGGGUAGUGGAAUUCCCGGUGUAGUGGUGAAAUGCGUAGAUAUCGGGAGGAACACCAGUGGCGAAGGCGACUACCUGGCCCACUCUUGACGCUGAGGCGCGAAAGCUAGGGGAGCGAACGGG
rnacentral:rRNA from 1 species